UACAGAGGUCUCAAGCGUUGUUCGGAUUCAUUGGGCGUAAAGGGUGCGUAGGCGGCGCGGUAAGUCGGGUGUGAAAUCUUUGGAGCUUAACUCCGAAACUGCAUUCGAUACUGCCGUGCUUGAGGACUGGAGAGGAGACUGGAAUUUACGGUGUAGCGGUGAAAUGCGUAGAUAUCGUAAGGAAGACCAGUGGCGAAGGCGGGUCUCUGGACAGUUUCCUGACGCUGAAGCACGAAGGCCAGGGGAGCAAACGGG
rnacentral:rRNA from 1 species